CCUACGGGUGGCAGCAGUCGAGAAUCAUUCACAAUGGGGGAAACCCUGAUGGUGCGACGCCGCGUGGGGGAAUGAAGGUCUUCGGAUUGUAAACCCCUGUCAUGUGGGAGCAAAUUAAAAAGAUAGUACCACAAGAGGAAGAGCCGGCUAACUCUGUGCCCGCAGCCGCGGUAAUACAGCGGUCUCAAGCGUUGUUCGGCAUCACUGGGCGUAAAGCGUGCGUAGGCUGCUUCGUAAGUCGUGUGUGAAAGGCGGGGGCUCAACCCGCGGAGUGCACAUGAUACUGCGAGACUAGAGUAAAGUAGGGGGAAGCGGAAUUCUCGGUGUAGCAGUGAAAUGCGUAGAUAUCGAGAGGAACACUCGUGGCGAAGGCGGGUUCCUGGACAUUAACUGACGCUGAGGCACGAAGGCCAGGGGAGCGAAAGGGAUUAGAUACCCCUGUAGUC
rnacentral:rRNA from 1 species